AUUUAGAAAGUUACAGGUCACAAAAUACAAGGAGUAGGGGGGCGGGGCCAGACUGCCAUGCUGUCCGGUCGCAUGCAGGUGAGGCUCUGGAGAAAUCUGGCCAUUUAGGUUACAAAUUAUGGCUCUUACACUCAAACUGAGCCCAAGAGAUACCCACACAAGAGGUAGUGGCACCGAGAUCGGGAGUUUUGGCCCCCUGUGGGAAGCAUGAAGCUUUGAGCCCAUGCCGAAGCGCAGAUCUCUCACGCGGACUUAACA